rnacentral:rRNA from 1 species
GACAGCGAGUAUAACCCCUUUGGUUCUUCUUGUUUGGUUGUCUUCUUUGCUCUCACAUUGCCACCCACUGAACCUAAGCAGGGUUGUACCUGGUUAGUACCUGGAUGUGAGACUACCUGGGAAAACUAGGUUGCUGCUGUAA